AACGCACCUUGCGCCCCCUGGUAUUCCGAGGGGCACACCCGUUUGAGUGUCGUGAAAACCUCAACCUCCUUGGUUUCUUCUGGAGACCAAAGCAGGCUUGGACUUUGGAGGCCUUUGCUGGCACCUCUCGCCAGCUCCUCUUAAAUGAAUUAACAGGGUCCUCUUUGCUGAUCCUCGACGUGUGAUAAGAUGUUUCCAUGUCUUGGUUUCUGGCUCUGUCACCUUUGGGACCCGCUUCUAACCGUCUUCAACCUUGCGUUGAGACGACGUUCGAGCAUGUCUCCCUUCUCGGGAAGCUCCCUCGACCCCACGAACCCUUGACCUCAAAUCGGGUGAGACUACCCGCUGAACUUAA
rnacentral:misc_RNA from 1 species